rnacentral:rRNA from 1 species
AUGCAGGAUCGUCAUGUGAUCGCCUAUGCAUCUCGACAGUUGCAUCCACAUGAGGAGAAUUAUCCUACACAUGAUUUAGAGCUUGCAGCCGUAGUCUAUGCACUCAAGACCUGGCGACAUUACCUCCUUGGUAAACGUUGCGAGAUCUACACCGAUCACCAGAGUCUCAAGUAUAUCUUCACCCAACCAGAUUUGAACCUUAGGCAAAGACGUUGGUUGGAGUUGAUCACAGAUUAUGAUCUAGGGAUUACCUACACCCUAGGCAAGGCCAAUGUCAUGGCUGAUGCUCUAAGUCGUAAAUCCUAUUGCAACAAUCUCAUGUUGCAGCAAGGCCAACCACUUCUCCAUGAGGAAUUCUGUAAGCUUAAUCUUCACAUUGCUCCUCGCGGAUUCCUUUCUACCUUGGUGGCGAAACCUACCCUUGAGGAUCAGAUCAUCUCUGACCAGAAGUUUGAUAGGGGGAUUAUCCGCAUUAAGAGAAACAUUAAGAAGGGAGUUGGUGGAUGUUUCUCUAUGGAUGAUCGUGGAGUUGUUUUCUUUGAGAAUCGCUUGGUGGUUCCCAAGAAUCAACAUCUGUGA